ensembl:snRNA U6 U6 spliceosomal RNA
GUGCUCACUUCAGUAGUACAUAUACUAAAAUUGGAAUGUUACAGAGAAGAUUAGCAUGGCCUCUACGCAAGAAUGACACACGAUUUCGUGAAGCUUUCCAUUAAAAA